rnacentral:snRNA from 1 species
AUCGCUUCUCGGCCUUUUGGCUAAGAUCAAGUGUAAAACAGAAAGUCUCAAAUUUGAUUUAGGUACAAACAGUUUUUAUUAUUAAACUGUAAUUCCCAACACUUUCUCCAUGUUAUCUGAAAACAUUU